UUGCAGCUACCAGAAAGUCAUUAAGGCAUUAGUUUGCCUAAGAAGACAGAUCUGAAGGAAAUUGGAGAAAAGGAAAAAAUGAAAAAUUCAAGGUGCUCCUCCAGCAGAAGAUCUCCAUGAGUUGUUUGUUGUGGCUGAAAAAUGAACCAUCCUGAGGUUAUGUCCAGGACAGGCCUCUUGGCACUAAGGUUCUCAGCUAUUACAAAAAGUGUUGUUAUAAAUAUUUUGGUAUAUAUGGAAACCUUCUUAUCAGUGACUUCCUUGGGGCAGAAGUUUAGCAGUGCAGUCUCUGGGUCAAAAGGCUGUACUUCAGAUUUUCUUCACCAAGCCCCAGAAACCUCUUCUUCAUCUUAGAAGUUCAGUCCAGCCCUGGAAUUCACGCACUGGAAGUAGCCUCUAUCCCUGCGCUCCUCUGAUUGGAUGGCACUGCCCAGAACCUCCGUUUAAGGAAGGUGGCCCGGCCAGCGGCUGUCUUCGUUCCUCUCCAGCCUGUAUUCAAGACUUUCUUUAUCAAGCUGGUGCCUAGUAGGCCCACCCCCACCCCUCAUCCGAUUCCACCAUAAGAAUGUUAGCUUCUUGAGGGCAGAGACUGUAUUUCUGCUUGUAUCUGUAUGCCUUGUG